UAUGCUGUAGUUUCGGGUACGGA
rnacentral:siRNA from 1 species